rfam:Hordeum vulgare subsp. vulgare, WGS project CAJW01000000 data, contig: morex_contig_2575244
AUUGUACUCCUCCGCCCCAAAAUUAUUGUCUUGGGUUUGUCUAGAAAUGGAUGUAUCUAAAUAGUAAGACAUGACUAGAUACAUUAAUAUCUAGAUAAAUCUAAGAAAAGAAUUUUGGGAUGGAGGGAGUAGAUU